rnacentral:rRNA from 1 species
UGGAUGGGCCCGCGGCCUAUCAGCUUGUUGUUGGGUGAUGGCCUACCAAGGCGACGACGGNUAGCCGGCCUGAGAGGGUGUCCGGCCACACUGGGACUGAGAUACGGCCCAGACUCCUACGGGAGGCAGCAGUGGGGAAUAUUGCACAAUGGGCGCAAGCCUGAUGCAGCGACGCCGCGUGGGGGAUGACGGCCUUCGGGUUGUAAACCCCUUUCAGUAGGGACGAAGCGCAAGUGACGGUACCUACAGAAGAAGGACCGGCCAACUACGUGCCAGCAGCCGCGGUAAUACGUAGGGUCCGAGCGUUGUCCGGAAUUACUGGGCGUAAAGAGCUCGUAGGUGGUUUGUCGCAAUUGUUCGUGAAAACUCACAGCUUAACUGUGGGCGUGCGGGCGAUACGGUCAGACUGGAGUACUGCAGGGGAGACUGGAAUUCCUGU